rnacentral:rRNA from 1 species
GACAGAGGGUGCAAACGUUGUUCGGAAUUACUGGGCGUAAAGCGUGUGUAGGCGGCCUCGCAAGUCGGGUGUGAAAGCCCCAGGCUCAACCUGGGAAGUGCACUCGAUACUGCUUGGCUAGAGUGUCGGAGAGGUUGGUGGAAUUCUCGGUGUAGAGGUGAAAUUCGUAGAUAUCUGGAGGAACACCGGUGGCGAAGGCGGCAUUCUGGACCACAACUGACACUGAGAGACGAAAGCCAGGGGAGCAAACGGG